CUUGUGCCUCAGAGCUUGUUUAUCGGUCAGUUUUUAGAGGGGUUCAUAGUUUUUUAUAAGAAAAAAAUAAAUCAAAACUAAAAAGAAAAGGUAAGGGAGGUUGUUAUAUAGUAACCCGAUUUUGUUGUAAGAGACUCAUACGUGUUGUUUUUCUGUUGGACGAUAGAAUAAUACAAAAGAUAAAAAAAAUUGGCGAAGCUCGAUUUCUUUUUUCUCUGGCAAUCGAAUUCCCGAAACAACAAAGGGAUUUGGAAUUGAAGGAUCUAGAAUCAGAGGAAGGGUUUGGAAUCAAAGGAUCUGAAAUCACAAGGUAAGUCUGUCAGUGGAGGUUUCAGAGCACAACACCACAUCGCUGCCACAUCGACGGAGAUGUCAUCGCUGGAUGUGAAAGAGAGGUUAAGGAGGCCACAGAUUCUGGCGCUGAGGAUCGUAAGAAAGAGUGCUUAAUGCGAUUGUCCUGGGCUCUUGUUCAUUCCCGUCAACCCGAAGAUGUGCAACGCGGAAUUGCCAUGCUUGAAGUUUCGCAAUAAUGAUGAUGUCUGGUGAGGCUGUCAAGUACAAGAGUUCCAUGGACGCCUUGGCCAGAACCUCAAGAAUGAAGGAGCCAAGUUAUUCUUCAAGGGAGCUGUUGCAGGUGCUGGUGUGCUUUCCGGUUACGAUUAUAAUUGCAGAGAGAAUCAAGUCCAGCUUUUAUUUUGGUGAGAGGAAUGCAAGCUUGUGAAUCGAAAUAUACAAAACUGUCAUCAGAUUUGCAAAGGAGUUGUCUCUGAAUUUUUCGCAGAGGAUUUACAAAGUAUUGUCUAUUGCAAAUAAAACACUGAGCUCACUUGUAGGGAUGUAAUUGCAGAGGAUUUGAAGAAAGGUAUCAACACAUUCACUAACAAAAUACGUCAUUUGCAGAGAGCUAUUUCUGAACUUUUUGUAGGGAGAACCAAGCAUUUGUGGUAACGUCAUCAACAUGCAUUAUAGAAUAUGUUUUUCUUUGGAUAUCAAAUCACUUUUCUCAUUGAAACCUAUUUGUUAUUGGAUUUCUCUUGUAAAAAUGUAUCCAAAAUCUGUGUUUUGAUUUUCUAUUAGAAAAAGUUAUACUUUGAAUAACAGUUGCUUUUAUAUGA